rnacentral:rRNA from 1 species
UAGAGUUUGAUCCUGGCUCAGAAUCAACGCUGGCGGCGUGCCUAACACAUGCAAGUCGAACGAGAAAGUGGAGCAAUCCAUGAGUAAAGUGGCGCACGGGUGAGUAACACGUGACUAACCUACCCUCGAGUGGGGAAUAACCUCGGGAAACCGGGGCUAAUACCGCAUAACAUCUACGGAUCAAAUGCGUAAGCAGCUUGAGGAGGGGGUCGCGGCCGAUUAGCUAGUUGGCGGGGUAAUGGCCCACCAAGGCAAUGAUCGGUAGCCGGCCUGAGAGGGCACACGGCCACACUGGCACUGAAACACGGGCCAGACUCCUACGGGAGGCAGCAGUGGGGAAUCUUGCACAAUGGGGGAAACCCUGAUGCAGCGACGCCGCGUGAGCGAUGAAGCCCUUCGGGGUGUAAAGCUCUUUCGGCAGGGAAGAUGA